UCCGCUAAGGAGUGUGUAACAACUCACCUGCCGAAGCAACUAGCCCUUAAAAUGGAUGGCGCUUAAGUUGUAUACCUAUACAUUACCGCUAAAGUAAUGAUUCAUAUGUUUAUAUAAAAAUAUAAAUUUUGAAACUUUAGUGAGUAGGAAGGUACCAAUGGUGUGCGUAGAAGUGUUUGGCGUAAGCCUGCAUGGAGCCGCCAUUGGUACAGAUCUUGGUGGUAGUAGCAAAUAAUCGAAUGAGACCUUGGAGGACUGAAGUGGAGAAGGGUUUCGUGUGAACAGUGGUUGAUCACGAGUUUUCGGUCCUAAGUUCAAGGCGAAAGCCGAAAAUUUUCAAGUAAAAAUAUAUAUAUAUACACAACAUACAUAUUAUUAUUGAUACACUUGAAUAAUUUUGAACGAAAGGGAAUACGGUUCCAAUUCCGUAACCUGUUGAGUAUCCGUUUGUUAUUAAAUAUGGGCCUUGUGCUCAUCCUGGCAACAGGAACGACCAUAAAGAAGCCGUCGAGAGAUAUCGGAAGAGUUUUCUUUUCUGUUUUAUAGCCGUACUACCAUGGAAGUCUUUCGCAGAGAGAUAUGGUAGAUGGGCUAGAAGAGCAUGACAUAUACUGUUGUGUCGAUAUUUUCUCCUCGGACCUUGAAAAUUUAUGGUGGGACACGCAAACUUCUCAACAGGCCGUACCAAUAUCAAUAUCCGCAGCUGGUCUCCAAGGUGAAGAGUCUCUAGUCGAUGGAAUAAUGUAGGUAAGGGAAGUCGGCAAAUUAGAUCCGUAACUUCGGGAUAAGGAUUGGCUCUGAAGAUUGAGAUAAUCGGGCUUGAUUGGGAAACAAUAACAUGGUUUAUGUUCUCGUUCUGGGUAAAUAGAAUUUCGAUUAUUUUUAAUGAUCGUCAUUUGUUCCCCGGAUUGUUAGUUACGUAGCCAAUUGUGGAACUUUCUUGCUAAAAUUUUUAAGAAUACUAAUCUGGAGGGGUUAAACCUUUCAGUUUUAGCUCUUUUAAAUUAUAACGAUUAUCAAUUAACAAUCAAUUCAGAACUGGCACGGACUUGGGGAAUCCGACUGUCUAAUUAAAACAAAGCAUUGUGAUGGCCCUAGCGGGUGUUGACACAAUGUGAUUUCUGCCCAGUGCUCUGAAUGUCAACGUGAAGAAAUUCAAGUAAGCGCGGGUCAACGGCGGGAGUAACUAUGACUCUCUUAAGGUAGCCAAAUGCCUCGUCAUCUAAUUAGUGACGCGCAUGAAUGGAUUAACGAGAUUCCUACUGUCCCUAUCUACUAUCUAGCGAAACCACAGCCAAGGGAACGGGCUUGGAAUAAUUAGCGGGGAAGAAGACCCUUUUGAGCUUGACUCUAAUCUGGCAGUGUAAGGAGACAUAAGAGGUGUAGAAUAAGUGGGAGAUAUUAGAUUUCGGUUUAGUAUCGCCAAUGAAAUACCACUACUCUUAUUGUUUCCUUACUUACUUGAUUAAAUGGAACGUGUAUCAUUUCCUAGCCAUUAUACGGAUAUAUUUUUAUAUAUCUUAUGGUAUUGGGUUUUGAUGCAAGCUUCUUGAUCAAAGUAUCAUGAGUUUGUUAUAUAAUUGCAAACAAAUUCUAAUAAUGAGAGGAUGCGCAUUUAUGUGUAUUUUCAAUUUAUGAAUUUGGUAUAACUCCAAUUACUCCGGUAUGAUCCAAUUCAAGGACAUUGCCAGGUAGGGAGUUUGACUGGGGCGGUACAUCUCUCAAAUAAUAACGGAGGUGUCCCAAGGCCAGCUCAGUGCGGACAGAAACCACACAUAGAGCAAAAGGGCAAAAGCUGACUUGAUCUCGGUGUCCAGUACACACAGGGACAGCAAAAGCUCGGCCUAUCGAUCCUUUUGGUUUAAAGAGUUUUUAACAAGAGGUGUCAGAAAAGUUACCAUAGGGAUAACUGGCUUGUGGCGGCCAAGCGUUCAUAGCGACGUCGCUUUUUGAUCCUUCGAUGUCGGCUCUUCCUAUCAUUGUGAAGCAAAAUUCACCAAGCGUUGGAUUGUUCACCCAUGCAAGGGAACGUGAGCUGGGUUUAGACCGUCGUGAGACAGGUUAGUUUUACCCUACUAAUGACAAAAACGUUGUUGCGACAGCAUUCCUGCGUAGUACGAGAGGAACCGCAGGUACGGACCUAUGGCACAAUACUUGUUCGAGCGAACAGUGGUAUGACGCUACGUCCGUUGGAUUAUGCCUGAACGCCUCUAAGGUCGUAUCCGUGCUGGACUGCAAUGAUAAAAAUGGGGCAAUUUGCAUUGUAUGGCUUCUAAAUCAUUAAAAGUUUAUAUGCAUUUAUAAACGACAAUGAAUAUGUGAUGCCAAUGUUAUGAGUAACAUAGUUAACUUUGGAGGAUCUUCGAUCACCUGGUGCCAAUGCUAGUUACUUAUUAAAACAUUAUUUAAUACAAUGACAAAGCC
rnacentral:rRNA from 1 species